rnacentral:misc_RNA from 1 species
GGCUGAAUUUCUCUCUUCUGCACCACAACGCCAUAAGAAUGCAGACAAUAACGGCGAAGAUGAAGGUGGUGAGGAGUGAAAUUGCUGCGAAACAAGUGGUUGUGAUCGAGGAAAAUGAGGAGAUACAUUGGUAUGCUUCUUGAAUUUCGUCCGGAGGACACAGCUACUCAAAUCCAAAUGCAAAGGAUCUUCAAGAGUAAAGGAAUAAAACAAGACCUUGGUUCAUUGUGAAAGGGCCGGCAAGAACUCGAGGCAGGUGGCGAGAAG